rnacentral:rRNA from 1 species
UGGGGAAUAUUGCACAAUGGGCGCAAGCCUGAUGCAGCCAUGCCGCGUGUGUGAAGAAGGCCUUCGGGUUGUAAAGCACUUUCAGCGAGGAGGAAGGUGGUGAACUUAAUACGUUCAUCAAUUGACGUUACUCGCAGAAGAAGCACCGGCUAACUCCGUGCCAGCAGCCGCGGUAAUACGGAGGGUGCAAGCGUUAAUCGGAAUUACUGGGCGUAAAGCGCACGCAGGCGGUUUGUUAAGUCAGAUGUGAAAUCCCCGGGCUCAACCUGGGAACUGCAUUUGAAACUGGCAAGCUAGAGUCUCGUAGAGGGGGGUAGAAUUCCAGGUGUAGCGGUGAAAUACGUAGAGAUCUGGAGGAAUACCGGUGGCGAAGGCGGCCCCCUGGACGAAGACUGACGCUCAGGUGCGAAAGCGUGGGGAGCAAAACAGGAUUAGAUACCCUGGUAGUCCACGCUGUAAACGAUGUCGAUUUGGAGGUUGUGCCCUUGAGGCGUGGCUUCCGGAGCUAACGCGUUAAAUCGACCGCCUGGGGAGUACGGCCGCAAGGUUAAAACUCAAAUGAAUUGACGGGGUCAUAGCUGUUUU